UAGGGAAUAUUGGUAAUGUGCGAAAGCGCGAACCAGCAACGCCGCGUGCACGAUGAAGGCCUUCGGGUCGUAAAGUGCUUUUAGAGAGGAUGAGGAAGGACGGUACUUUCUGAAUAAGCCUCGGCUAACUACGUGCCAGCAGCCGCGGUAAAACGUAGGAGGCUAGCGUUAUCCGGAUUUACUGGGCGUAAAGCGCAUGCAGGUGGUUUUGUAAGUUGGAUGUGAAAGCUCCUGGCUUAACUGGGAGAGGUCGUUCAAAACUACAAGACUUGAGAUUGGUAGAGGAAAAUGGAAUUCCGGGUGUAGUGGUGAAAUGCGUAGAUAUCCGGAGGAACACCAGUGGCGAAAGCGGUUUUCUGGACCAAUUCUGACACUCAGAUGCGAAAGCUAAGGUAGCAAACG
rnacentral:rRNA from 1 species